AGUCAUACGCUUGUCUCAAAGACUAAGCCAUGCAUGUGUCGUACAACUCUCGUUUGUACAGAGGAAACUGCGAACGGCUCAUUAAACCUAUUGAAAUCUACCUGGCGUUCAUUAUCAGAUGGAUAACUCUGGUAAAUCUGGUGCUAAUACAUGCUUUAAUGGGGUGCUUCGGUGCUCCUGCUGUUAUUAGUUACAAAAUCAUCAGCCUUCGGGCGUCUUGAUGAUCCACAAUAACUCAGCGGACCGCAUGCCUUGAGCGGCGGCAAGCCAGUCGAUCUUUAGCCCUAUCACCUUUCGUAGGCAGUGUAGUGGACUGCCUAGGGAGUAACGGGUAACGGAGAAUUAGGGUUUGACUCCGGAGAAUGAGCCUUAGAAACGGCUCAUAUGUCCAAGGAUAGCAGCAGGCGCGCAAAUUACCCAAUCAUCAUUGAUGGAGGUAGUGACAAGAAAUAUCAAGGCAGAGCUUUUGUUUUGCCAUUGAAAUGAGUACAUUCUAAAACACUUAACGAGGAUCAAGUGGAGGGCAAGUCUGGUGCCAGCAGCCGCGGUAAUUCCAGCUCCACUUGCGUAUACUAAAAUUGCUGCAGUUAAAAAGCUCGUAGUCGGACUUCGGGGUGCUCUGGCUGGUCCGCGGACGUUGUUCGUGUGUAUCGGCUGGCUGUGUCCUAUUGCGUGUGGACGUGCGUUGCCUCGGUAGCGUUGCGUUAUCCGCGCCUUUUACCUUGAGGAAAUUGGAGGGUCUAAACCACGCUUCAAUGCUCUUGAACAAUUCAGCAUGGGAUAACACUACAAGACUUUUGUCAUGUUUUGUUGGUUUCAUAACGGAAGUAAUGAUUAAUAGGGGCGGUCGGGGCCGUUCGUACCAGUUGGGGACAGGUGAAACAGGAUGAUCCAACUGUGACGUACUGAAGCGAAAGCGUUCGGCAAGUACGCUCCCAUUGAUCAAGAACGAAAGCGGCCGGAGAGAAGAGGAUCAGACACCCUUGUAUUGGCCGCCGUAAACGAUGCCAUGUAGGGAUUGGUAGAGUACCUAUCCUGUCUCUUUCAGCACCUUUUGAGAAAUCAAACACUUUAGGUUCUGGGGGGAAUAUGGUCGCAAGACUGAAACUUAAAGGAAUUGACGGAAGGGCACCACCAGGAAUGGGGUCUGCGGCUUAAUUUGAUUCAACACGGGAAACCUCACCAGGUCCAGACAUAGUAAGGAUUGACAGAUUGAUAGCUCUUUCUUGAUUCUAUGGUUGGUGGUGCAUGGCCGUUCUUAGUUCGUGGAGUGAUCUGUCUGCUUGAUUGCGAUAACGAACGAGACCUCCGCCGUUAAAUAGUACUGCUUAGGCUUGCCUAGGUUUGGACUUCUUAGCGGGACAAUCUGCGCAAGCAGAGGGAAGCUGGAGGCAAUAACAGGUCUGUGAUGCCCUUAGAUGUUCUGGGCCGCACGCGUGCUACAAUGGUUGACGCAGAAAGUUUGUCCUUGGCCGUCCGGUCCGGGUAAUCUUGCAAAGUCAGCCGUAUUGGGGAUCGAACACUUGCAACUGUGGUUCGUGAACUUGGAAUUCCUAGUAAGUACAUCUCAUCAGGAUGUGCUGAUUACGUCCCUGCCCUUUGUACACACCGCCCGUCGCUCCUACCGAUUGGAUGGUCCGGCAAGUUCUUCGGAGCUUUGACACUGAUGAUUUCGGAUGUGUCGAGGUGAAGUUGCGCGAGCCUUACCAUCUAGAGGAAGGAGAAGUCGUAACAAGGUAUCC
rnacentral:rRNA from 1 species